CUCUCUUGGCGUCUUCUGGUGAGCUCAGCCGAAGGGCUGAUACAAUGAAUGACUUCCAUGAAAGCCAAAUCAAAAUGGUUUGGAGGUGUAUGGGAAGAAGGAAGCUAAAGACAGCAGCAGAGGGGCAGUCUUAUAGAAUGGUGUCUGACUGUGUGGUGGAAGUGACUGUGAAGCAAAGAUGCAUGUCAGUGAAUUCCUCUCUGCAGAGAAAAUGGCACUAAUUGAUAUUCAUUGACUCUUGCUGAAUGUUUAUGGAGACCAAACAGUGGAUAGGAGCACAGUGAGUCAGUGGGUGAUCUCCUUCAUAUCAGUGCUACCAUUGCUGAAACACAAGCCACAUUCUGAAUGGCCUUGCGUAGCUAUCACACAAUGGAACAAGGAGUGUCUCAAUCAGUUUAUCUGUGCAAAUCAGCUAAUGAUGGUGAUUAUGCUGAAUUUUAUUUUUUUAUAGCUGAGAAUUUGGGAUAUCAAACAGUGUUAUUGUGCUGUUGUAAUUUCCAUGGAAACAAGUAGGAGGCAUUACUUUUGGAGUAACCUAUACAUUCCCUGUAUUUGUGAAGUAAAUAAUUUAAGCUGUUUCUUCUACGUGUAUAUUUUUUAAAUAUGUGGGCAUAGACAUGCUUUCUUUUAGCUCCUGUGUUCUAUCAUCUUUUUGUCUCUUCUACUACACUUGAGUUUGUCACUUCCACAUCUGCUAAUAUUAUUGAAAUAACAUAUCAGUUCUUUGCUUUGAGUUGUAUGCUGCCAGAGGUAAACUUACUACUGCCUAUUGAAGAAUGUAGCAGAAGAUCUGACAAGGUAUUAUUUCCUAAAGUAACAACCUUUAUAUGAAUGGAACAGAGUGACCUUUUUAAAGAAACAUCACUGAUGUAAACUGAUAUAGGCUGGUUUAUUUAGCAAUGGGGAUUGGUAUAUUAGUUUAAGAACCAAUAUAAUAGUUUAGCAAUCCAUGUUUUAUAGUUCUAAAACUUUCAAUUUCAACUUUAGUGGGUGAAUAGUGUUGUUUUCCUCAAUAAUUUUGCACUGGGGACACAAUAGAAUACUUUUAUCUUUUGCCUCAAAUGGUGCAAGGAUAUUUUCCUAGGAUUCCAUGUAUAUUGUUUUAGAAAGUUGCUCACUAAGGCCUUGUAAGCAAUGGAAAUUUUCCAGAGUGGAUGAAAGUGAGUCAAGGGCCUCAGUGAUGAAGCUGAUGGUAAAAACUGGGGAAGAAGUAGGUGGGCAUUUGACCACCCUUUAUAUCACUGAGAAUGCCCAAAGGGAUAUUAGCAUAUAUUUAUGAGUCCUUGAAAAGGAAUGCCAGUGUACUGCAUACACGUCUUAACUGUUCAAAUGUAGAACCUGAACUCUGUGAGGGUGUGAUUGCUUGUCAAAUCACCCAGUAUGUAAUGUUAGGAAUAAAGGAAUGCUGAUUUUUAACAGCACGUUAGAGUUAGAGAGUUUUCUUCCU